ACUCACUCAACCUGGGUGUGAUGUUUUUGAUUCGGUAUCCAUCACAACCUCCUUGAGUGAGCGA
rnacentral:pre_miRNA from 1 species